CGGGGGGGGCAAGCGUUGUUCGGAAUUACUGGGCGUAAAGGGCGCGUAGGCUGCUCGCUAAGUCGGGUGUGAAAACUCUGGGCUCGACCCAGAGCCUGCAUUCGAAACUGACGAGCUAGAGUUCUGGAGGGGAAAGCGGAAUUCCUGGUGUAGCGGUGAAAUGCGUAGAUAUCAGGAGGAACACCGGUGGCGAAGGCGGCUUUCUGGACAGAAACUGACGCUGAGGCGCGAAAGCUAGGGGAGCAAACAGGAUUAGAUACCCUGGUAGUCCUAGCCCUAAACGAUGGAUACUUGCUGUGAGGGGGAUUGAAUCCCUUCGUGGCGAAGCUAACGCAUUAAGUAUCCCGCCUGGGGAGUACGGUCGCAGGGCUG
rnacentral:rRNA from 1 species